rnacentral:rRNA from 1 species
GACGAACGCUGGCGGCGUGCUUAACACAUGCAAGUCGAACGAUGAAGCGCCAGCUUGCUGGUGUGGAUUAGUGGCGAACGGGUGAGUAACACGUGAGUAACCUGCCCCCUACUCUGGGAUAAGCCUGGGAAACUGGGUCUAAUACUGGAUAUGACCAAUCACUGCAUGGUGUGUUGGUGGAAAGAUGUUUUGGUGGGGGAUGGACUCGCGGCCUAUCAGCUUGUUGGUGGGGUAAUGGCCUACCAAGGCGACGACGGGUAGCCGGCCUGAGAGGGCGACCGGCCACACUGGGACUGAGACACGGCCCAGACUCCUACGGGAGGCAGCAGUGGGGAAUAUUGCACAAUGGGCGAAAGCCUGAUGCAGCGACGCCGCGUGAGGGAUGACGGCCUUCGGGUUGUAAACCUCUUUCACCAGGGACGAAGCUAACGUGACGGUACCUGGAGAAGAAGCACCGGCUAACUACGUG